rnacentral:rRNA from 1 species
ACGCUCGACACCUACGGAGGCAGCAGUGGGGAAUAUUGCACAAUGGGGGAAACCCUGAUGCAGCGACGCCGCGUGAAGGAAGAAGUAUCUCGGUAUGUAAACUUCUAUCAGCAGGGAAGAAAAUGACGGUACCUGACUAAGAAGCCCCGGCUAACUACGUGCCAGCAGCCGCGGUAAUCUGAGCGGGCUGGCAAGGC